rnacentral:rRNA from 1 species
UCAGAAGUGCGAAUGCUGACAUAAGUAACGAUAAUGCGGGUGAAAAACCCGCACGCCGGAAGACCAAGGGUUCCUGUCCAACGUUAAUCGGGGCAGGGUGAGUCGACCCCUAAGGCGAGGCUGAAAAGCGUAGUCGAUGGGAAACGGGUUAAUAUUCCCGUACUGGUGGUAACUGCGAUGGGGGAACGGAGAAGGCUAGGUUGUCCGGGCGACGGUCGUCCCGGUUCAAGCAGGUAGGCAGAGUGAUUAGGCAAAUCCGGUCACUUAAUGC